GCACCCGCGGUAAUUCCAGCACCAAUAGCGUAUAUUAAUGCUGCUGCUGUUAAAAAGCUCGUAGUUGGAUCAAGAGCUCGACAGUGCACGGUGGCCCUGUUUGUUUGGUUGGCUCCGGUCAGCUAGACGGCAGCGGAACAACCCCGUGCGCCAAACUGUCGACUCUAACAGACCGAAGCGGUUCCCUGUGAGUAGGCUCCUUAAUUGGGGCUGAAAGCGCCUACGCAUCAACCAUAUGCAUACGGUGACGUCGGUCAAUGUUACUGUGAACAAACCAGCGUGUCCAAAGCAGGCUUUCGCCUGAAUGUUCGAGCAUGGAAUAACAAGGGAUCGAUUCUCUCGGUUCUUUUCGUUGGUUUUUAACCCGAGAAGGAGUAAUUCAGGCCACGGUGUCUGAGUUGGGUUUCCCUGGGCUUCGGCUCAGGCCCCAAUUAGGCCGUGUCCUUACGGGAUCAAUAGGGACUGACGGGGUCGUACCUACUUCCGCGUCAGAGGUGAAAUUCUUAGAUCGCGGGAAGAGGAACUUCUGCGAAAGCAUUCGACAAGAAUGUCUUCAUUAAUCAAGAACGAGAGUGUGGGGAUCGAAGAUGAUCAGAUACCGUCGUAGUCCACUACUGUAAACAAUGCCGUCUCAGGAUUGAGAAGUGAACAGAAUGACUUUCACAGCACUAACCCCUGAAACGAGAAAUCAAAGAUUAUGGGUUCAGGGGGGAGUACAUUCGCAAGGCUGAAACUUAAAGGAAUUGACGGAAUGACACCACAAGGCGUGGAGUAUGCGGCUUAAUUUGACUCAACACGGGGAAUUUUACUAGGUCAGGACAAUGUAAGGAUUGACAGAUUGAGAGCUCUUUCUCGAUCCAUUGUGUGGUGGUGCAUGGCCGCUCCUGGUUGGUGGAGUGAUUUGUCUGGUUGAUUCCGUUAACGAACGAGAUCUCGACCCUUAAAUAGGUGCGCAUGUCGAUUGUAGCCUUACCUCCGCCAGCUUGCUGGAUUGGAGUAGGGCGAGACUGUGCGAAUACUCCUUAAGGGGACUGUGUGCGUCUCUAGCACGCGGAAGAGCGAGCCAAUAGCAGGUCUGUGAUGCUCCUAAAUGUCCUAGGCUGCACGCGCACUACACUGAUGCAAUAAACGAGUCUGAGUGCCUUCUGGCAACCUACCUGGAAGCGGGUGGGAAAUCUUUUGAACCUGCAUCGUGAUGAG
rnacentral:rRNA from 1 species